ensembl:lncRNA
AUGUAUUUGAUACACUGCUGAUUUUGCAGGUUUUCCUACUUACAAAGCAUGUAGAGGUCUGUAAUUUUUAUCAUAGGUACACUUCAACUGUGAGAGACGGAAUCUAAAACAAAAAUACAGCGACAGCCCCGAAACCUGAAGGAUCUGGAGAAGGUCUGUAUGGAGGAGUGGGCCAAAAUCCCUGCUGCAGUGUGUGCAAACCUGGUCCAGAACUACAGGAAAUGUAUGAUCUCUGUAAUUGCAAACACAGGUUUCUGUACCAAAUAUUAAGUUCAAACAAAGGUUUCUGUACCAAAUAUUAAGUUAUGCUUUUGUGAUGUAUCAAAUACUUAUGUAUAAUGUGAUUUUCUGGAUUUUUGUUUUAGAUUCCGUCUCUCACAGUUGAAGUGUACCUAUGAUAAAAAUUACAGACCUCUACAUGCUUCGUAAGUAGGAAAACCUGCAAAAUCGGCAGUGUAUCAAAUACUUGUUCUCCCCACUGUAUGCUACUGCUGACCAUGCUACAGCUGAUAACAGGUUGUACUAAUUUUGAGCCUUCUGUUAGCAUCCUGCUAGUCUAACAAUCUCACCCAGUACCAUAUUCAGCAUCUCUUCUCUUCCUGUUCCUCUAUGGAUGCUGUUCAAAUGUAUCUACUGUAUAUUGAUGUAUAAAAUGUACAUGAAUGUGUUAUUCCAUCCAAAUGCUGGUUGUAAUGUUUUCUACACUGGGGUAAUCCUCAGCAGGCAGCAGGACACUGGGAAGUUGAAGGGCUAUCAUUACAUGUCACAUACAGUUGGUUACAGUGCAGUGGUUCACCGCAUGCCUUCUAUUUAGAACCUCCUGACCCCUGACCCCUGCUCACCCUACUGUUUGCCCACAGAGGGUGAAGGUUGAUGGGGUGUGUGAGGGGGGUGUGUCCUCUGCCCCGGGCGCCAGUCCUGUUGAUGGAGGUGGAGGCAGUGAGAGAGACAUGCUUUGCCCUGCUAGGACCUGUGAGGGGGACAGAGGAGGUGGAGGGGUGCAAGCUACCAGGACCUAUGACUCCAUGAUGUCACACAACCCUAACUACCUGCUCAGCCAGCCCCUAGACCAUCCCCCAUCAGAGACCUAGGGUUGCUACGGACGUUGACAAGCUGUGGCAGGGCAGUGUAGCAGAGUUGACCCCCGUGCUCUCAUGCCCUUCUGGCCCUUCCUCCAAACGGAAGUGUACUGACUCCUCCCACCUCCACGUCAGGGUUCCGAUGCCCCUCCCACUCCGCAGGUCUGAGUCCUUCCCCCACAAACUACUAUUGGCCCACUGGACUGAUUGGGGCGGGGCAGACCGCUGCACCCUCAGCCCCUACAUGCUCCGCCUCUCAGGGGCUGGCUUUGCCUACUACACACCGGGGCCAGAGACCUUUGUGUGACACACACUCACACACACGCAGGCUAAUGUGUGUACACACAAACCGAUGUGUUCACAAAAGAUGUGCACUCACACAGAGACCAAUGUGAUCUAAAUUUACAGCUUACCAUGGAUGUGGAAGGAUUUGUAUUCCACUCAUAAACAAUGCAAACACACACACACACACACACAUUUGCAAAAUAAUUCACACAUACUGAAAAACAUAAAACAUCUUCACACAAUUCACCAUGUGCAUAGUCAGCCAUUCAGAUACACCCCUCCCCCAAUCUGCCUCCCACCGGUCCUGUCCAUCCCAUUUCAGUGUGGUCCUGAUCCCAGUCCAGUCCAUUCCAUUUCAGUGUGGUCCUGAUCCCAGUCCUGUCCAUCCCAUUUCAGUGUGGUCCUGAUCCCAGUCCAGUCCAUUCCAUUUCAGUGUGGUCCUGAUCCCAGUCCUGUCCAUCCCAUUUCAGUGUGGUCCUGAUCCCAGUCCUGUCCAUUCCAUUUCAGUGUGGUCCUGAUCCCAGUCCUGUCCAUCCCAUUUCAGUGUGGUCCUGAUCCCAGUCCAGUCCAUUCCAUUUCAGUGUGGUCCUGAUCCCAGUCCUGUCCAUUCCAUUUCAGUGUGGUCCUGAUCCCAGUCCUGUCCAUCCCAUUUCAGUGUGGUCCUGAUCCCAGUCCUGUCCAUUCCAUUUCAGUGUGGUCCUGAUCCCAGUCCAGUCCAUCCCAUUUCAGUGUGGUCCUGAUGCCAGUCCUGUCCAUUCCAUUUCAGUGUGGUCCUGAUCCCAGUCCUGUCCAUCCCAUUUCAGUGUGGUCCUGAUCCCAGUCCAGUCCAUUCCAUUUCAGUGUGGUCCUGAUCCCAGUCCUGUCCAUUCCAUUUCAGUGUGGUCCUGAUCCCAGUCCUGUCCAUUCCAUUUCAGUGUGGUCCUGAUCCCAGUCCUGUCCAUUCCAUUUCAGUGUGGUCCUGAUCCCAGUCCAGUCCAUCCCAUUUCAGAGUGGUCCUGAUCCCAGUCCUGUCCAUUCCAUUUCAGUGUGGUCCUGAUCCCAGUCCUGUCCAUUCCAUUUCAGUGUGGUCCUGAUCCCAGUCCAGUCCACACCUCUACUCUGUUCUGCUACUCUAUAAUCCAUGUUAAAAUACUUGAAUCCAACAUUGACACCAGUGGUGUUAAACGCUGAACACACGGAGGUGUUCAGUGUGUGAAUGUGCGUCCCUUCUACACUAAAGAAUUGUGUAUGAAAAGGACCAGACUUUUCUGUUUCUAUUUUAUUAACUGUCUCUGUCUUCUUCUUUUUCUCUGUCUCUCAAAUAUACUCAUUUUGUUGAAAUAACAGGAGUUGCUUCGCAAAAUGUUCUGGGGAGAAAGACAUCUGUUAUUCACUGUGUGUGUGUGUGUGUGUGUGUGUGUGUGUGUGUGUGUGUGUGUGUGUGUGUGUGUGUGUGUGUGUGUGUGUGUGUGUGUGUGUGUGUGUGUGUGUACAUACAGCUGAAGUCAGAAGUUUACAUACACUUAGCUUGGAGUCAAUAAAACUAUUUUUCAACCACUCCACAAAUUUCUUGUUAACAAACUAUAGUUUUGGCAAGUUGGUUAGGACAUCUACUUUGUGCAUGACACAAGUCAUUUUUCCAACAAUUGUUUACAGACAGAUUAUUUCACUUAUAAUUCACUGUAUCACAAUUCCAGUGGGUUAGAAGUUUUUAUACACUAAGUUGACUGUGCCUUUAAACAGCUUGGAAAAUUCCAGAAAAUGAUGUCAUGGCUUUAGAAGCUUCUGAUAGGCUAAUUGACAUAAUUUGAGUCAAUUGGAGGUGUGACUGUGGAUGUAUUUCAAGGCUUACCUUCAAACUCAGUGCCUCUUUGCUUGACAUCAUGGGAAAAUCAAAAGAAAUCAGCCAAGACCUCGGAAAAAAAUUGUAGACCUCCACAAGUCUGGUUCAUCCUUGGGAGCAAUUUCCAAAUCCCUGAAGGUACCACAUUCAUCUGUAAAAACAAUAGUACGCAAGUAUAAACACCAUGUAACCACGUAGCCAUCAUACCGCUCAGGAAGGAGACGCCUUCUGUCUCCUAGACAUGAACGUACUUUGGUGCGAAAAGUGCAAAUCAAUCCCAGAACAACAGCAAAGGACCUUGUGAAGAUGCUGGAGGAAACAGGUACAAAGUAUCUAUAUCCAUAGUAAAACGAGUCCUAUAUCGGUAUAACCUGAAGGGCCGCUCAGCAAGGAAGAAGCCACUGCUCCAAAACCGUCAUAAAAAAGCCAGAUUACGGUUUGCAACUGCACAUGGGGACAAAGAUCGUACUAUUUUGAGAAAUGUUCUCUGGUCUGAUGAAACAAAAAUGUAACUGUUUGGCCAUAAUGACCAUUGUUAUGUUUGGAGGAAAAAGGGAGAUGCUUGCAAGCCGAAGAACACCAUCCCAACCGUGAAGCACGGGGGUGGCAGCAUCACGUUGUGGGGGUGCUUUGCUGCAGGAGGGACUGGUGCACUUCACAAAAUAGAUGGAAUCAUGAGGUAGGAAAAUUAUGUGGAUAUAUUAAAGCAGCAUCUCAAGACAUCUGUCAGGAAGUUAAAGCUUGGUCGCAAAUGUGUCUUCCAAGUGGACAAUGACCCCAAGCAUACUUCCACAGUUGUGGCAAAAUAGCUUAAGGACAACAAAGUCAAGGUAUUUUAGUGGCCAUCACAAAGCCCUGACCUCAAUCCCAUAGAACAUUUCUGAGCAGAACUGAAACAGCGUGUGUGAGCAAGGAGGCCUACAAACCUGAUUCAGUUACACCUGCUCUGUCAGGAGGAAUGGGCCAAAAUUCACACAACUUAUUGUGGGAAGCUUGUGGAAGGCUACCCAAAACGUUUGACCCAAAUUAAACAAUUUAAAAGCAAUGCUACCAAAUAAUAAUUGAGUGUAUGUAAUCUUCUGACACACUGGGAAUGUGAUGAAAGAAAUAAAAGCUGAAAUUAAUCAUUUUCUCUACUAUUAUUCUGACAUUUCACAUUCUUAAAAUAAAGUGGUGAUCCUAACUAAUUAACUAAUUUUUACUAGGACUAAAUGUCAGGAAUUGUGAAAAACUGAGUUUAAAUGUAUUUGGCUAAGUUGUAUGUAAACUUCCGUCUUCAACUUUAUAUACAAUGUGGCCAUACACCGUAACAGCACUCUGUUUGGGUCAGACCUAUGAGUCAGACCGAUAUCUAUGCCCUGUACACAGACUGAUAGGGCUCCUUCAUGGAUGUUUUAAUGGCUCAUUGUUCAGUGAUGCUUGCAUUAUGCUAUGUUGUCUAAAGACCGUGUUUGUUCCGUUAUUUAAAGGUUCUUGUCCGUACUCUAGAAUGGUAUAUCUUUAUCGCACCAGGUUAUGGCUUUUCAUAUCUGUUUGAUUAUGCACUGAGAUAUUUUACGUGGUAUAUAUUAUGAAUGCAGGUUGUUUACCAUGUAUGGAUGUAACUUAAACUAAUGGAUAUAUGUAUUGGGGGGGCAGUGGUAGGGGUUUGGGAAAUACAUUUUUAAAAAUGAAUGCAAAGACUUGAAUCAAACAGCGCAGUCACAAUCAAAUCCAUCUUUCUAGAAUGUCAUAUGAAUGAUAUGAUUGGUUCGCCACAUGCUCUAUGUAAAUGAUUGUAGAUGAUGUUGAAUUCAUCUAUUUUCCACGUUUCUAACAUGUAAAAGUCUGAGGUGAAACAUCUGCCUUUUUCCAAGCUCAUCUGUGGUUAUAGUGACAUCUGUGGUUAUAGUGACAUCUGUGGUGUUAGUGACAUCUGUGGUGUUAGUGACAUCUGUGGUGUUAGUGACAUCUGUGGUUAAUGACAUCUGUGGUGUUAGUGACAUCUGUGGUGUUAGUGACAUCUGUGGUGUUAGUGACAGCUGUGGUGUUAAUGACAUCUGUGGUGUUAAUGACAUCUGUGGUGUUAGUGACAUCUGUGGUGUUAAUGACAUCUGUGGUGUUAGUGACAUCUGUGGUGUUAGUGACAUCUGUGGUGUUAGUGACAUCUGUGGUGUUAGUGACAUCUGUGGUGUUAGUGACAUCUGUGGUGUUAGUGACAUCUGUGGUGUUAGUGACAGCUGUGGUGUUAAUGACAUCUGUGGUGUUAGUGACAUCUGUGGUGUUUAGUGACAUCUGUGGUGUUUAGUGACAUCUGUGGUGUUAAUGACAUAUGUGGUGUUUAGUGACAUCUGUGGUGUUAGUGACAUCUGUGGUGUUAGUGAGAGACUCUGAAAGUCACUGGAUUCAUAAGCAUAUUUGUAUGUUCAUUGGUCUGCUGAGUGCUGACACAUACAACAAAUAUCUCUAUACAGUAGACAUUGUGUCUCGUGUUGUCUUUGCAACAGGGCACCACUCUGUCGGUUUUGGGGGGUUUAAAGUUCAGUGUUCAGGUUUUAUGUUUGUUUAUGACUAGACCCAUUUGGUUGAGCUUACUGACAUGGAUUCUAAGGGGUUAUCAUGAAUGUUAUAUAUCAGACCAAUGGAGGCUGCUGAGGGGAGGAUGGCUCGUAAUAAUGGCUGGAAUUGAGUGAAAGGAAUGGUACCAAAAAAAUGUGCUUGAUACUAUUCCAUUUACUCCGUUCCAGACAUUAUGAGCCAUCCUCCCAUCAGCAGCCUCCAUUGUAUCAGACCCACUGUAAAGAGGACUUCAUGAUGAUUUGACACAGUAACACAAACAGUGAAAACUCUCCCCAUAAGCAGCAGUCUGAAUUUGUCCCAGCUACACUGUAUUUAAUGACAAAAACAUCAGACAAUGAAUGCAUGACUUCCAACGGACAUGACAUAGGCUGUGUUUUCACAGCCAGCCCAAUUCUGAUCAUUUUUCCACAAAUUGGUCUUUUGACCAAUCACAUCAGAUCUUUUCACAUCAGAUCUGAUGUGAUUGGUCAAAAGACCAAUUCGUGGGAAAAUUAUCAGAAUUGGGCUGGUGUUUUGAUGUUUUUGUCAUUACAAAAGGCUGGUCUCAAUACAGUGUAGCUGGGCCAAAUUCAGACUGCUGCUUAUGGGGAGAGUUUUCACUGUUUGUGUUACUGUGUCAAAUCAUUGGAUGGGAGGUCAAAUCAUGUCACAUUAUUCUGAUUCUGAUUCUGAUUAUUGUUAUCUUAUCAAUUUGAUUGAAAAUACACAUUAUUUUUGUUGAUUUUUCUUUUGCUAGUGUUUGAUCCAGGGGAGAAGACUUUAUUUCAACUCUUAUGUAUUUAUCAUUUUGCUUUUGGUUUUUGUAACAACCCAAAUGAAAAGGUAUUUCCACAGAAUAAACCCUCUGAAGACGUUUAGAUGAUAGUGACUCCCACUUUCUGCUACUGUAAGUGACCUGAUUCAUGUAAGUGACCUGACCAUGAGUAGGCUAGUCACCCACAGAGAUUAUAUUUGUAUGUAGUCACCCACAGAGAUUAUAUUUGUAUGUAGUCACCCACAGAGAUUAUAUUUGUAUGUAGUCACCCACAGAGAUUAUAUUUGUAUGUAGUCACCCACAGAGAUUAUAUUUCUAUGUAGUCACCCACAGAGAUUAUAUUUCUAUGUAGUUACCCACAGAGAUUAUAUUUCUAUGUAGUCACCCACAGAGAUUAUAUUUGUAUGUAGUCACCCACAGAGAUUAUAUUUGUAUGUAGUCACCCACAGAGAUUAUAUUUGUAUGUAGUCACCCACAGAGAUUAUAUUUCUAUGUAGUCACCCACAGAGAUUAUAUUUCUAUGUAGUCACCCACAGAGAUUAUAUUUGUAUGUAGUCACCCACAGAGAUUAUAUUUGUAUGUAGUCACCCACAGAGAUUAUAUUUCUAUGUAGUCACCCACAGAGAUUAUAUUUCUAUGUAGUUACCCACAGAGAUUAUAUUUCUAUGUAGUUACCCACAGAGAUUAUAUUUCUAUGUAGUCACCCACAGAGAUUAUAUUUGUAUGUAGUCACCAACAGAGAUUAUAUUUCUAUGUAGUUACCCACAGAGAUUAUAAUUCUAUGUAGUCACCCACAGAGAUUAUAUUUCUAUGUAGUUACCCACAGAGAUUAUAUUUCUAUGUAGUUACCCACAGAGAUUAUAUUUCUAUGUAGUCACCCACAGAGAUUAUAUUUCUAUGUAGUCACCCACAGAGAUUAUAUUUCUAUGUAGUCACCCACAGAGAUUAUAAUUCUAUGUAGUCACCCACAGAGAUUAUAUUUGUAUGUAGUCACCAACAGAGAUUAUAAUUCUAUGUAGUCACCCACAGAGAUUAUAAUUCUAUGUAGUCACCCACAGAGAUUAUAUUUCUAUGUAGUCACCCACAGAGAUUAUAUUUCUAUGUAGUCACCAACAGAGAUUAUAAUUCUAUGUAGUCACCCACAGAGAUUAUAUUUCUAUGUAGUCACCAACAGAGAUUAUAAUUCUAUGUAGUCACCCACAGAGAUUAUAAUUCUAUGUAGUCACCCACAGAGAUUAUAUUUCUAUGUAGUCACCCACAGAGAUUAUAUUUCUAUGUAGUCUCCCAUCACUCGUCUCAUAAAAUAUUUUGUGUUACAUUUUUGUUUUCAAGAUCACAGUGAGAGAAUAAGUGACCAAAUACUUGAUUAGUCAAUGAAUAUUGAAUAUGAAUAUAUUAUUAGUCAAUGAAUACUGUCUCUGUCUCUCAUUGGUUAAACACACCAGCCCUGUGACUGUCGCUGACCAUAAUGUCCACUUCUUUUAUAAACACAUUAUCAGCACAGCUCCAAGUGCUCUCACCAUACUGCUUCUGAACUUGUGAUACUCUCACAAAUGAAAUGUAACGUCAACUACUAUACUGUGCUCUCUAAAGGUAAACAGUAUAUGCUGUAUCACAUAGAAACCUACAGUACUGUUUGUAUUCAUGAGCCAUUUUCAAGGUUGUUUUUCUACAAAGAUUUUAAAAUAUGUUCAUCUGUUGACAUUUUGCCUGCCUAUCUGUAGCGAAUGAGGGGAAAGCUCUGUGAUGUCAUUCUGCUUGUAAUAAAGAAAUGAUAAAACUCA